rnacentral:rRNA from 1 species
UACGGAGGGGGCUAGCGUCGUUCGGAAUUACUGGGCGUAAAGCGCACGUAGGCGGCUUUGUAAGUUAGAGGUGAAAGCCCGGGGCUCAGCCCCGGAACUGCCUUUAAGACUGCAUCGCUUGAAUCCAGGAGAGGUGAGUGGAAUUCCGAGUGUAGAGGUGAAAUUCGUAGAUAUUCGGAAGAACACCAGUGGCGAAGGCGGCUCACUGGCCUGGUAUUGACGCUGAGGUGCGAAAGCGUGGGGAGCAAACAGG